UGGGGAAUUUUGCGCAAUGGGCGAAAGCCUGACGCAGCAACGCCGCGUGUGUGAUGAAGGUCUUCGGAUUGUAAAGCACUUUCGACCGGGACGAAACUCCUCUGGCUAAUAACCAGGGGCCUGACGGUACCGGGAGAAGAAGCACCGGCUAACUCUGUGCCAGCAGCCGCGGUAAUACAGAGGGUGCAAGCGUUGUUCGGAAUUAUUGGGCGUAAAGCGCGUGUAGGCGGCGUGACAAGUCGGGUGUGAAAGCCCUCAGCUCAACUGAGGAAGUGCGCCCGAAACUGUCGUGCUUGAGUGCCGGAGAGGGUGGCGGAAUUCCCCAAGUAGAGGUGAAAUUCGUAGAUAUGGGGAGGAACACCGGUGGCGAAGGCGGCCACCUGGACGGUAACUGACGCUGAGACGCGAAAGCGUGGGGAGCAAACA
rnacentral:rRNA from 1 species